UCUGUUAGGCAAUUCCUAUACAAACCACAAAUGUGACCGUUGAGACAAAUGAGAAGUAUAAAAGGCAUACGCUUUUAGGUUAAAGUAUACAUCUGCAAAUCUUAAAAGGAGCUGAUCUUGAAGCUGAUCAACCAUUUGGUUAACAGCAAGCAUGAAGUUCGUAUGUGUGGUGAUUACUUUACUGGCUGUGCUCAGCUGGGCAACUGAAACAACAUCUCACUGAGAACACAUUACCAAGCAUAGGAUUCUACAUGGUGACACAUGAAGCCAUAUGAAAAGCCACUCAGUGGAAGCAUUGCAGUGCAAUUAUUGCAUGACAUUGUACUGUCCCAGUGAAGUUCGUACAUGCAAACCUGAGGAAACUGAGUGUGCCAUGAUAGCAUUUAACACCAGACCUUAUGUUAUAAUUCGUAUGUGUGCAACUACAAGUAAAUGCCUCGAGCUGAAGGCCAAGGCCAGGCCACAACAAUACAGUGUUUUCUGCUGUACCAAAGACCGCUGUAACUGAUCCUUCCUACAGAAAGUGAUGGUUCUCAUAUUGACACUUCAGUUUUUAAAAAUUGUGUUUAGUUUCUCUAAUGUGCAGUGAUGUUCUAAAAUAAAGUUUGAUUCAGCCAUGACUACAUUCUUAAAUAAAGCUUUAUUCAAGAAACUUCA